CCACUCCUGUUGUUAACAAGUGAGGUAGGAGGGGAGCGAGUUUGGGAACCUGCUGCAGGGAAUGAAGCAAAUUGAAGGGGUGUGUCGGACUGUAACCGAGAGAAAGGCGGAAAAUAAAAGAAAUGGCAUCGGCACUUUGUUGCAAGGCAGGUUUUGCCGUCUUCAGCAGUCAAUAGUUUUAGGAUGGGUGGAGUCUCCUCCAUUUUAUUAGAGGCACUUUACAAGAAGGAGAUGCAAUAUAAAUCUAAUAAACCAGGAUGACCACCCAAGUCCUAAAAUUCUGAGGUAUUUGGUUGCACCAUAUGAUUCAGGAAUAUUACCUUGAUUUACAAUGCAAGACGAUAGACAAAUAAAGAAUGGAGGAAUUACAUUUUGUAGUUGGAAUAUAAGGGGUGCCAACGAACCAAUUAAGAGGGGUAAAAUAUUUGCCCAACUAAAAUCGUUGAAAAGCGACAUAAUGUUUUUGCAGGAGACACACAUGAAACAACAAACACAAAUAAGAUUAAAGGCGAAUUGGAUAGGCCAAACAUACUACUCCUCAUUUACUUCUAAAUCUAGGGGUACAGCUAUUCUUAUUAGGAAAGGUAUUCCUUUUAAAUUAAAGAAUACUAUAUCAGAUAAAGAGGGAAGGUAUAUUAUAGUUUCGGGUGAAAUUUAUGCAACCCCACUAACUUUGAUAAAUAUUUAUGCUCCGAAUUUUGAUAACCCCCAAUUUUUUGAUAAAAUUAUUGACAUAAUAUCAGAGUUUAAUUACCAAAAUGUGAUAAUAGGGGGGGACUUUAACUGUGUUUUAGAUUCAUAUCUAGAUAAAUCAGCAAAACAAAAGAAGAGUAAUUUAAAAUCUAAGACUAGCGAAUUUCUAAAUACAUAUAUAUAUAAAAAUACUAAUAUAAUAGAUGUAUGGAGAUCUGCUAAUCCAGUUGGAAGGGAAUACUCGUUUUAAUCUUCGGUGCAUAAAACUUAUUCAAGAAUUGAUUAUUUUUUAGUGGAUAUGAAAUUAAUGCCAUAUACAAACAACCCAACAUACCACAUUAGUAAUAUCUCAGAUCACUCUCCGUUGACAUUUUCAGUAAAAUUUGAGGGAAUGCCGAGUAAAAAAAUGUUUUGGAGGUUUAAUACACAUAUUUUAAAUGACGUGCAAGGCUAUCAAUAUUUAAAACAACAAAUGAAACUUUUUUUCGAUACAAAUGAUAUACCAGGUACUUUGCCUUCUUUAUUAUGGGAAACUUUUAAGGCAUUUAUGAGAGGAAUUAUAAUUUCAUAUCAAAGUUUUCAAAAUAAAAAGAAUAAGACAGAACAAUUGUUGUUAGAACAAGAAAUCAGACAGUUAGAGUUGGAUAAUGCCAAAGAUUCCACGACAGAUAAACACAAUAAGAUAAUAUUACUGAAAUUUAAACUUAAUCGAAUUUUAUCGGCAAGAGUAAUAAGACUAUUCCAAAUUACAAAACAGGAACAUUUUGAGUUUGGUGACAAACCACAUAAGCUUUUAGCUCGCCAAUUGAAAAAACAAGAAAAGGAAAAUACUAUAACCAAAAUUAAAUCAGAGAAAGGUGAAUUACUAAUACUACCUAAAGAUAUUAAUAAUAGAUUUGCCCAAUUUUACCAAAACUUACAUACAUCUAAAAUUAAAAAAGAAGAUAGCAAAAUAAAAACAUUUCUAGAUAACUGUAAUCUUCCAAUACUGGACCUUUUGGAACAAGAGGAACUAGGAGCUCAAAUUACAAUCAAAGAAAUAGGUGAAACAAUAAAAUCGCUGAAAAAUGGUAAGACACCGUUCCAGAUGGUUUUAAUAAUGAAUUUUAUAAAAAAAUUCAUGAGAUAACGACCCCUUAUUUAUUUAAUUUAUACUCCCAUGCUUUUAAAGAAAACAAACUACCUGAAACACUAACAGAAUCAACUAUUACGCUUAUUCCAAAAAAAGAUAAAGAUUUAGAAGAUCCGGGCUCGUACAGAGCUAUAUCACUUUUAAAUACAGAUCAGAAAAUUUUAGCAAAGAUUUUAGCAAGAAGAUUAAGCAAAUAUAUUAGUAAAUUGAUAAACCCUGAUCAAACGGGGUUUAUACCUAAAAGAUACUCAUUUAAUAAUCUGAGACGCCUGUUUAAUAUAAUGUACUCGCAUAAAGUAGAGGAAGAAGAUAUAUCAAUUAUUUCUUUGGAUGCAGAGAAAGCAUUUGAUCAGGUAGAGUGGCAAUACUUAUAUAAAGUACUACAAAAAUUUAAUAUGGGAGAGAAUUUUAUAAAAUGGGUAAAAUUAUUAUAUGAUAAACCGAUGGCAAGAAUUUUAACUAAUAACAUGUUAUCUCAAAAAUUUCAACUAUCAAGGGGUAAUAGGCAGGGAUGUGCACUAUCACCCCUGCUAUUUGCCCUUAUGAUAGAACCCCUGGCUGAAAGUAUAAGAAUUCAUCCGAAUAUUCAGGGCUAUAAUACCAGGGACUCAAAGAAUAAAAUCUCAUUAUAUGCAGACGAUAUACUUUUAUAUAUUACAAAGUCACAAACGAGCAUACCAAAUUUAUUAAACUUAAUAGAGGAAUUUGGGUAUUUUUCUGGAUAUAGAAUAAACUGGAAUAAAAGUGAAAUCAUGACAUUAAAACCUCAAGAACCUACACACUUAUUGAAGUUCCCCUUUAAAAUCGCAACAGAAAAAUUUAAAUAUUUGGGUAUUCAGAUUACUAGAAAAUAUAAAACAUUAUUCAAUGCUAAUUUCAUACCUUUAUUAAAUAAACAAUACGCUGAUUAAAUUUUGGAAAACACUUCCCUUAUCAUUAUUAGGUGGAAUAAAUGCAAUAAAAAUGAACUUUCUACCACAAUUACUAUACCUAUUUCAGUCUAUACUGGUAUAUAUACCAAAAUAUAUAUAUUUUAAAUUAGACUCUAAUAUUACUAAUUAUAUUUGGGACUAUAGAUCACAUAGAAUCACAAAAAAAACACUUAUGUAAACCAAAAGAGGUCGGGGGACUUUCACUUCCGAAUUUUAUGUAUUAUUACUGGGCAGUGCAUAUUAAGAAUAUGAUUUAUUGGUUGGAUAGUUCUACCCAACAGACAGAAUGCAUAAAAAUGGAGAAGGAGGAUUGCCAUCCUUGUAAUAUAGGAACGAUCCCCUUCUCCCCAAAAAAACUGAAUAACACAAUAUAUAAGAAGAACCCAAUUAUAUAUGGUACAAUAAGAAUUUGGAAACAAAUAAAAUUAUCUUUAAAAUUAAGAAAUCUAUCACUGUUAAUGCCAAUAGCGAAUAACCCUUUAUUUAAACCAUCUCUUAUUGAUAAGACAUAUAACCAAUGGGAAAGUCUCGGAAUUAGAAGGAUCGGAGAUAUGUACGAAAUGGGAAACCUACUAUCAUUCCAACAACUACAAUUAAAAUUUAAAUUGAAAAACAAUCAAUAUUUUAAAUAUCUUCAGAUUUGCGAUUUCGUGAAAAAAUAUAUACAAGGAUAUCAAAAAGUAACUCCUGAUUUAUUGGAAGAAGCAAUGAAUAUUGAAGCUGACUCACAAAAAUUAAUAUCAUAUUUAUAUAAUAAUAUUCUAAAUAUAGACCUACCAUCGACAGAGGUACUUAGAGAAGAGUGGGAACGGGAACUAAUGAUAAAAAUUACGAAGGUUAAAUGGGAAAAAUACCUGAUAUAUAUUCACAAAUGUUCAAUUAAUGUAAGACAUAAUCUAAUUUAAUUUAAAAUUGUACAUAGAUUAUAUUAUUCAAAAACAAGAUUGAACAAAUUUUAUCCAAAUAUAUCCGCCACUUGUGAUAAAUGUCUAGCCCAAAAGGCAACUAUAACACACUCCUUAGUUUCCUGCAUAAAACUUUGUAGAUUUUGGAAUUAUAUUUUUGAAAUAUUUACAAAAUUAUUCAAGACAAGAAUGGAACCUAAUACUGAAAUGAUUAUAUUUAGUGUAAUGGAAGAUGGGAAUUAAUUGAACACAUCUCAAAAUCUAUUCCUUAACUAUGGUUUAAUAAUAACAAAAAAAUUAAUACUUAAAUUUUGGAAGGGUACAUCAAUACCAACUCUUAAAAUGUGGAUUGCAAGUAUGUUGGACACCGCUCAUCUUGAGGAAAUGCGAUUCCUCCUAAUGGAUAAAUCAGACCAAUUCAUAAUGAGUUGGUCUCCAUUCGUCGUUUUUUUUGGAAUCUUAUGGUGCAACACAAUUGUAAAAAAUAGCUGUUUCAGGACUGGACGAGGGUUGGUCAAGAUUAUAAAUAAUGAUCUCCUUUUCUUUUUUAUUUUAUUUUCUUUUCUCUAUUUUCUCUCUCAACUUUCUUCAUUUACUCGUUUUCUUUCUUCACACACUAUAUAUUUCACAUCUUUCUAUCCUUUACUAUCUAACUUCUUUUUCUUAUUCUAAUCUUUUUUCAAUGUAGCAAAAAAAAAUAAGUUGUACAUAAAAUGUAUUAUGAAAAUAUAUAUUAGGCACUUUGGUGCCAUAUGACUACUUACUUAAAAUAAAAUAUUAAAAAAAAAAAAAAAAAAAAAAAUUUGGAUCAGAGCUCGAAAACAAUUUAUCAUCUGCACUAAACUCAAUUUUCAGCAUUUUUCGUACAAUAAGCAUACUUGGCAUAAAAUCAACUUCAAGAAAGCAUAAAAUAGUGGGUAACAGAUGGGCUGCCUAUUUUAUACACUUGUCAAAUCCAUUGGGAUUUUCUUUCCAUUCAUUUAAAUAGUUAACUAGGCAUAAUUUUCACCAGUCUCUCAUCUUCAUCAUAUUCAUCUUUGACUCAAAUUCUCCUUCAUUCCGAUUCUGUUGAUGGGUCUUAUGCAUUAAUUUAAUGCAACUCCCGCAAGCACCUAAAUCAUUCCCCUCCAGAUCAUUGUUCACUCGUAGCUGCAGACCUUCUGUUUCUGAAUGACAAAUGCCGUAAGAAAAUGGAAGUUUCCGUCCAUCAUGGUUAAAAGAACACAGUUUCAGCAGUUUAAUUUUAGCUUUUUGUACAUCUUGGGAAAGACUUCUAAGAUUUUACCAUGUUUCGAAGGUCAGGAGAAAAUGAUGCAACCGAGUAGAGAUUCACGGAGACUCCAUUCAGGGGAAAGCAAUUAUGUUAGAAAUAAGAUUUAAGGGUUAAAGAUAUGAGUUGGGGCAAGCUAGAUUUUUCUUCUGAGAACAAAGAAUGAGAAUCAAAUAAAAUUAUACUUGGGUCAUGCAUUUCAAGAUUAAAGAAAUUAUUAGAGGCUCUUCAGCUUGAAAAUGUUGAAUUUGUUGAACAUGCUUGGUAGCAUAUUGUUUAAUGAUUUAUGAAUAAUGUGCUGAUUGGAUGUGUGUUUGGGAAGUAUGUGCAAGAAGUAGCAACUUUCCAGAGUAAGUGGUCUUUAACACUGAAAAUAUAGAUCCGUCCAGACGAUCAUAAAGUAAUAUAACAGAGGUCAUUCAGCCAUUAUAACCAUAUAACAAUUACAGCACGGAAACAGGCCAUCUCGACCCUUCUAGUCCGUGCCAAACACGUAUUCUCCCCUAGUCCCAUAUACCUGCGCUCAGACCAUAACCCUUCAUUCCUUUCCCGUCCAUAUAACUAUCCAAUUUAUUUUUAAAUGAUAAAAACGAACCUGCCUCCACCACCUUCACUGGAAGCUCAUUCCACACAGCCACCACUCUGAGUAAAGAAGUUCCCCCUCAUGUUACCCCUGAACUUCUGUCCCUUAAUUCUCAAGUCAAGUCAUGUUUGAAUCUUCCCUACUCUCAGUUGGAAAAGCUUAUCCACGUCAACUCUUGUCUAUCCUUCUCAUCAUUUUAAAGACCUCUAUCAAGUCCCCCCUUAACCUUCUGCGCUCCAAAGAAUAAAGCCUUAACUUGUUCAACCUUUCUCUGUAACUUAGUUGCUGAAACCCAGGCAACAUUGUAGUAAAUCUCCUCUGUACUCUCUCUAUUUUGUUGACAUAAUUAGGUGACCAAAAUUGUACACCAUACUCCAGAAUUGGCCUCGCCAAUGCCUUGUACAAUUUUAACAUUACAUCCCAACUUCUAUACUCAAUGCUCUGAUUUAUAAAGGUGAGCACACCAAAAGCUUUCUUUACCACCCUAUCUACAUGAGAUUCCACUUUCAGGGAACUGUGCACAGUUAUUCCCAGAUCCCUCUGUUCACCUGCAUUCUUCAAUUCCCUACCAUUUACCAUGUACGUCCUAUUUUGAUUUGUCCUGCCAAGAUGUAGCACCUCACACUUAUCAGCAUUGAACUCCAUCUGCCAUCUUUCAGCCCACUCUUCCAACUGGAAUAAAUCUCUCUGUAGACUUUGAAAAUCUACUUCAUUAUCCACAACCCCACCUAUCUUAGUAUCAUCUGCAUACUUACUGAUCCAAUUUACCACACCAUCAUCCAGAUCAUUGAUGUACAUGACAAACAACAGUGGAACCAACACAGAUCCCUGUGGCACCCCACUAGUCACUGGCCUCCAACCUGACAAACAACCAUCCACCAUUACUCUCUGGCAUCUCCCAUUCAGCCACUGUUGAAUCCAUCUUGCUACUCCACCAUUAAUACCCAACAAUUGAACCUUCUUAACCAACCUUCCGUGAGGAACCUUGUCAAAGGCCUUACUGAAGUCCAUAUAUACAACAUCCACUGCUUUACCCUCAUCAAUUUCCAGAGUAACCUCUUCAAAAAAUUCAAGAACAUUAGUCAAACAUGACCUCCCAGGCACAAAUUCACGUUGACUGUUCCUACUCAGACCCUAUUUAUCCAGAUGCUUAUAUAUACUAUCUCUAAGUAUCCUUUCCAUUAAUUUGCCCACCACUGACGUCAAACUAACAGGUCUAUAAUUGCUAGGUUUACUCUUAGACCUCUUUUUAAACAAUGGAACAACAUGCGCAGUACGCCAAUCCUGCGGCACUAUUCCCGUUUCUAAUAACAUUUGAAAUAUUUCUGUCAUUGCCCCUGCUUUUUCUACACUAACUUCCCUCAAUGUCCUAGGGAAUAUCCUGUCCGGACCUGGAGACUUAUCCACUUUUAUAUUUCUCAAAAGUGUCAGUACUUCCUCUUCUUUGAAUCUCAUAUUUUCCAUAGCUGCUCUACUUGUUUCCCUUACCUCACAUAAUUCAAUAUCCUUCUCCUUGGUGAAUACCGAAGAAAAGAAAUUGUUCAAUAUCUCCCCCAUCUCUUUUGGCUCUGCAGAUAGCUGUCCACUCUGACUCUCUAAUGGACCAAUUUUAUCCCUUGUUAUCCUUUUGCUAUUAAUAUAGCUGUAGAAACCCUUUGGAUUUACUUUCACCUUACUUGCCAAAGCAACCUCAUAUCUUCUUUUAGCUUUUCUAAUUUCUUUCUUAAGAUUCUUUUUACAUUCUUUAUACUCCUCAAGCACCUCAUUUACUCCAUGCUGCCUAUAAUUAUUGUAGAUCUCUCUCUUUUUCCGAACCAAGUGUCCCAUUUCCCUUGAAAACCAUGGCUCUUUCCAAUUUUUACUAUUUCCUUUCAACCGAACAGGGACAUAAAGAUGCUCUUAAAAUUUCACCUUUAAAUGUCCUCCAUUUCUCUUCCACAUCUUUCCCAUAAAACAAACUGUCCCAAUUUACUCCUUUUAAAUCCUUUCGCAUCUCCUCAAAGUUAGCCUUUCUCCAAUCAAAAAUCUCAACCCUAGGUCCAGUUCUGACCCUCUCCAUAAUUAUAUUGAAACUAAUGGUAUUGUGAUCACUGGUCCUGAACUGUUCCCCAACGCUUACCUCUGCCACCUGACCCGUCUCAUUUCCUAACAGGAGGUCCUGUUAGGAGGAUUGAUGUUAUGCCUAACAUCAAUCUCUUUGUAAGGCUCCUGCUCCCUGCUCUUGCCCUGUACAUGUGUAUACGUUUUUUAUACUUUCAAUAAUUUACCUGCUUCUGACUGGAAAGGUAUACUAAAUCUGCUUCUACCAAUAACCUACUUGGGGUGUUGCAAAUCAUAUAAAUUCAUCGUUGUUCAAAAAGACAUCUGGUUCUUUUGCUAUUCCUCUUAAUUCUCUGUAGCCAUCUGCCACUGGAGAGUUCCUCCUCAUUUACUUUAUCAAAAACAUAUUUGUUUUUGAAAAUUUCCAUAACAUUUCUUAAUUGUCUCAACAAAUAUUCCAUGCACCUGAAUAAUUUUUAUGCGCAUAAAUCUCCAAGUAUCACUGUACCUCCACCAUUUUAAAAAUGGAACCACUUAGUUCGUGUUUCAGCAUCCUUAUUAAAUGAAUCUCUUCUUGAUCAUGUGGUAAAUUUUAUCUGCUGUUUGUCAUUCUUUUUCAUUAAUCUGUCUGUGUGCUCCUGAAGUUCUUGACUGUACUUCCUCAAAACUUUGAAGAAAUUUGGCAUGUCACCG